CUUAUACUCCCACCGUUCCAAAUUACUCGUCGCAGAAAUGAAUGUAUCUAGAACUAAAAUACAUCUAGAUACAUCCAUUUCUGCGACGAGUAAUUCGGAACGGAUGGAGUAUUUC
rfam:Triticum urartu cultivar G1812 contig1123229, whole genome shotgun sequence.